GACUCGGUGGCGGAUGGUCCGUGCACAGAAUAAAUGUAGGAUUAAGUUUCAUUCUUUAUCUGGAGUUCGCCUGUUCGAUUCAGGUCCGGGUCA